rnacentral:tRNA from 1 species
GCUCAACGGUAGAGCGAUCAUCUAGUAAAUGAUAAGUGCAGGUUCAAUUCCUGC